UUUUUUUUUCAAAAAAACAACAAAAUAUGAUCAAAUUAUAUUAUGUUUUUUUAAUAAAAAGGUAAAAAAUAAAUAAAAAAUAGAGUAGUUACAAAAAAGUUUAAAAAAUAUUUUUUUAACAUCGUCAGAAGAACCCUAAACUCUAAAUCAUAAAUCCUAAGCUCUAGGAUAAACCUUAAACUCUUGGAUAAAUCAUAAAAUCUAAAUAAAAACACUAAACACUAAAGUUUUAUCCAAGAGUUUAGGGUUACCCAAGGUUUAGGGUUUACCCAAAAGUUUAGGGUUUAGUGUUUUGUAACUAUUGUUUUUUUUUUAACUUUUUUUUUAAAACAUAAUAUAACUUCAUAAUAUUUUAUUUGUUUUUCUAGAAGAUAUCGAAUAUGAAAUAAUGAAAUCUUAUUGAUUGGUGAACCUAGAGAUUCACUAUGCGGAGUGAAUCCAAGAAUAACUCUUUUGAUAAACAUGUGCACAAUAGCAUUUGCAAUAUGGCGUCGUUUGAAUAAAAUAAGGUAUGAACUAAAAACUAUAGCUUUGACUGGUAUAAAUCAACUAUAUUGUAGAAUAUUCAAAUCUAUAUAUAUAAAGUUAGCUUGUCUGGCUGCUCCUGCUGCCACGUCACUCUGGAGAGAGGGGCGUUUUGCGCCACGUGUCGCCUAAACAAGCACUCUACGAAACCAAUUUGUCGUGUCCUUUGCGUUAUUGAAUUGGGCUUCUGUUUUGUUUCUUUUGCAUUCUUUAAUUGGGGUUUUUUAAUUUCCAGGUCCGUAUAUCAUGUGCUAUACCAGAAAGUGAGGUUUUCAUUAUAGCUUUUGUAGACCCGAUGAAGCCGUCUUCCAUAAACAUCUGAAACGCCUUAGAUUCCCAUUAAUUCCCACCCUCCUCCACUACGCAGCAUUAAAUCAAGCUUGGACUCUUCAUAUGUAAACGGCCAAAACUUUCCUAUAAAUUGGUAUCGUUGUAUAGAUGAAAACACCAAAUCUAGGAGAACUACAAGUAUCAUAUCUUCUAAUUACCAGCUCCAACAAUGGCGAAUUCCUUCACACUACUUGCUGAUUUGAUAGCCGGACGAUGUUCAACCACAACCAAGUUUCGUCUUCUUAGGUUUUGAUGGGUGUUGAUAUGCUACUCAUUGACGAGAAGUCAAAGCUUAUGUAGGGAUCCGUGAGUGCGAACCCUCUCAGCUUCUUCAGGGAGCGUUUCAGUAACAACAAUUUCUGAUUGUCUGAUGCUCCCCUCGCCAUUGAUAGCACUUCAUUUUAAGAGAAUGUACGGAUUCGCCGCGUCUUUGGCCGCUGGUUUGCUGCUCAUGUUUCUGGUAAUGAUCAAUUUCACAUAUCCAGUGCCUUACCAUGAAUUGAAUUGGAAUGAUCCUGUGGCCAAUCUGUAAUAAGUAAUUCAUGUUUCCUUUCUUCUUCUGCAAUCCGUGAUCGUAUUUGUCAUCCCCAUCAAGUUUGUGCUGCUCUUCACAUUUGCAAAUGAGAAGCACAGUCUUCCUCAUGGGACCUGAGCAACAGAUAAAUAUGAUGUUCGUAUCUACGCUACCUCUAUCUAUGUCAGAUGCAUCCUUCUUGCACUCAUUUUGCGCUCUCUUGAUCCACAGCAAGAUUUUGACAGUGAUUGCGAUCCUAUGCAAGACUUGUGCACUUAUGUGGUACAGCCUCAGUUAUAUUCCAUUUACGCGAAGAAUGGUCUCUGAAAUAAUGAUCUGUCUCUGUGAUAACGAGCUAUAGUACACAAACUCGCAUUUUACUGGUCUCGAGAAUUUGAGAGAUGAUUUAAAAAAAAAAAUUGUUUGACCUGAUGAGGUGGUUUGCGCAUGAAUCAAAAGUAACGCAACUGGAGUUUUUUUUUUUUGAGGGCUUGAAGCUCUUGCGUGUGUUUACUUCUAUUACUUCAAGGUCUUUUGCAGUCACUUGACAUUUGUUUGAUAAGAGAUUACUUUCAUAUAAUCCCUCGGAGUUCUCAUUUUACCCAUCCCUUUUAUACAGUUUAUAUUUUUGGUUCAUACACAAUACCCUGUAAUAUGCUUUUCUCUUCAAAAAAAAAAAUAUGCUUAAUCUUUUACUACUCUAUGGUUCAACUUUCCUAAUAAAAAGAAGUGAAGACAAUAAAGCCUAGAUACUAGAUAGGCCUUUCUUUAUUGACAACGAGAAACAACAUCAUAUUCUCUGCAUUAUAAGUUCUUAAUGUAAAAAAAAUGAAAUAGGGAACAUUAAUCCAAACGACCGCACUUAAUGUCCAAAAAAUUCAAUAAAUUAUAUUAACUACUCAAUUAACUACAUAAUAUAUAUCUAUAAAUAGGUUACAUAUGCUUUCACUUUGGCAACGACCACGACCAAAUACCAAACAAAAAUGCACACUAAACACCAAUUCACACAUUGAAAACUAACCAAAAAUAUAUAAAGAGAAAUCAUUUCAUGAGUAUCACGAUUCUCAGGAAUAAUCGUCUUUAACAUCAUGAAAUCAACAUCGGUACUAGCAGAAGCAGUCCAAGAAUUUUGGGUGUACAAAAAUACCAAUUUAAAUCCUUUAACGGUCCAACCCCUAACAUCGAUAGAUAACUAGAGACAACAACUUAAAGACAAUAUUUCUUUUGGCCGAUAAUGUGUUGAUCCCCUACUUCAAAGCAUGCAGAAGUAUUUUGAAAACAACAACACAAACUUAGGUUUCAACAUUUCCAAACCAAAACGGUUGGUUCAUACAACAAUGACAUUUACUUAUACAGCACAACAUUAUUAUGCAAAGAACUGCCUGGUCCUGUAAUUUUCGAGGUCCCCAAAAUUAAAAUAAAAUAAAUAUCAUAACAUAUAUUAAAUAGAGAGGAAGAGCUAAGCAGGUAGAAAAAGAUUGGGGGAUCAUGAAAAAAAAAUUUGUACUUUUGAAUGGUUUUGUAAAAAAGUGUGUAGUCUAAGUGGGAUUAAAAUAAGGUUUUAUAUACGUACAAAAGGUUGUAUGCAUUUCUAUUAUCCAAAAGAAUUUUCGAAGCCCAUACAAAACAUAUAUUAAUUAAUUAUUGAAAUUUGUAUUUAUUGUAAUACUUUCUUUUUUUUAAAUGACCUAUUGAAAUGGCUUUUUUACAAAAAUUCAUUUGUUAGAUUAUUUAUUUGUUUGUUUUCUUACAUAAAAUCAAUUAAUAUAAUGUAUUAAUAUUUUAUUUUAAAUAAACUAUACACAAAUAAUUAUUUUCUAAGUUUAUUUUUAAAAACUGUGGGCCCCGUAAAUUGGGUGAUCUUAUGCUAAUGUUUCAUGUGUUUGUGGUAAAAAAACCAUAUAUCAUCUUUAUUCUCUGUUCUUGAAGCACUAGCAGCUAAAAAGAAACGUUUCUUCUUUCUCAACGCUUUUGAAAAUACAGAAAAUUACAGCAUGAAACAGAGCUAUUUCUGAUUUUCUACAUAUAAAAUUUCAUUUUUUUAUAAUAUUUUAACAAAAAAAUAAUGCUAUAUUCCGUGCAGAAACAUAUGCGUUUUAAUAUAAUUUUAAAACUUAUUAUGAUAUUUUCUCAUAUGUAAUUUUAAAUAAGAAAGACAUUAAUUUAAAAAAAUGUAGUCUUCAUGUAGCCAACAAAUUAGCUGAGAAAGGUCAUCGCAUAACUUACUUGCUUCCCAAAAAAGCUCAAAAACAACUCGAAUUUCUUAAUCUUUUCCCAGACAGCAUUUUCUUCCACCCUCUUACUCUUCCUCCUGUUGAAGGUCUCCAUGUUAGCGUAGAGACAACCACAGAUCUCCCACCAAACACGACUCGAAAACUCAUAUCCGAUGCCAUGCAUCUCUUACGCGAGCAGAUAGAAGCACAAGUUCGUGCAUUGAAUCCAGAAUUUAAAUGGAUACGCAAGUAGUGCUCCGUAUUUGUAUAUCUAUCAAGGUAUUAUUGUUUUUAUUAAGAUGUGUUUGUUCAUAUAUUCUCAUGUAAUAAAUUAAAUUCCAAACAAUUGGCUUCUAAAACUUCCCAUUACAUCAUACCAUUGAAAUCAAUUUGAAAGUAAACUAUAUUCUAACAAUCAAUACUUCCAAAUGCAUACCCUCGCCAGAAACGUCAAUCACUUUGAAAAGAUAGUUUAACGGAGAUAACAAAUAGGUAAUAUUCUGCGAGGACAGACCACUAGAAAUCAGCCCAUCUAAGAGCAUAACUUUAUCAUAGGGCACUUAAGAUAUCAAGUUCUAUUCAUGUUCUAAUUUUGCAAAAAAAAAAAUAUAUAUAUAUACAAUGUCUCCUCCUCUCUGGCUCUCUCUAUGCUUGAAAUAUUGGAUGCACUUGAAUGGAAAACAGAUAAACGAUAAAGAUGCACAGAGUUUAUUAAUGAGUGAGAGUCACCUGACUAGAAUGUUAUUUUACCAAUUAUAGAUGCACAAGAGCAACAAUAGUAUGCCACAGACCCAACAUAAAUAAUCGAUGUGACACAUGUUAUUACUAUAAGUAAAUGACAAAAUUUACUUUCGUUAUUUAAGUCAAUUAAAAUAAAUUAUGUUCUACAAUACCUUUUCCCUUAUGCUGGCAAUCUUUUUCCAAUUAACACUAAACAAAAAAACUCAGAAGAUAAAAAUGCUAGAUUAGCCAAAGACAAUGUAAUUUUAGUAUUUGGUCAAAUAAUUUUUUUGAAUAAAAACAUUGUUAAAGUCAGACACACUCAUAAUAAUGGAUAGAAUACAUUCAGAUAUACCACCAUCAAACAUAAAACUUUAACACACAAUUAAAAAAUAUAUUAAUAUACUACAUAUAUAAUCUCAUGCAAAUGCAAAAAAAAAAGAGGACGUAUUUUCAUUAAAAAUAUAGCUGAAAUGAAUACUGAAAAUAAAAUAGUACAA